rnacentral:rRNA from 1 species
CAACCUGGUUGAUCCUGCCAGUUAGUCAUACGCUUGUCUUAAGGAUUAAGCCAUGCAUGUGCAAGUAUAGUAUUAUACAGCGGGACUGCGAACGGCUCAUUAAAACAGUUAUAGUUUAUUUGAUGGAUAUUUAUAUGGAUAACUCCAGCAAACCAGAGCUAAUACAUGCCAAAAGCCUGACUUAAGAAGGGCU